rnacentral:rRNA from 1 species
AUGCUGAACACUACGGUUGCUGCUCAAUCUAUCUGGAAGGGGUCCUUUGAUAAUAGGCACUUGAUCAGAUUUUUCUCUGCCUAUGCCGAUGAGCCGCUGGAUAAGGAAGACAUUGUACUCUUUGGUGUCUUUGACCCUCCAGCUACCAGGGAAGAUCUAGGGCUAGACGAGCCUAAAUUUAGUUUAUUCAAGAGCCAAUGUGAGACGCCGGAAAUUCAGGUAAUAUCGGAUGAUGAAAUAUUGAAGUCCGUCCAAGCUAUCAAAGUAAAGAAGGGCGGCGUGGAGUCAAAAUCAAAGGGGUUGGCUUGUAUUGUCCCGAAGGCUGUGGAUCGUGGUGUGGAGAGUGAUGAUGAUUCUUUUAUGCCUCCGGCACCUAAAAAGUGUUUGCGGCCCGUAGCUGCUAGUCCUAUCAAAGUGGUAGUGAAAUCGCCUCUUGUUCUGAGUGUUGAUGAUGAUUUUGUUUUGCGUGGUGAGAGAACAGUGUUCACCAGGAGCAAAUCAGUGGAGGAGCCAUUGUAUCUUCUGGAGAUUGAUCCGUACCAUCGACCAGUUGAUGAAGAUGGGCAGGAGGUCCCGAGGCCGUCGUUCAAUGUUAAACUUGCUGCUCAGAAGUUCAAGUUAUACAUUAAAGAGAACCUGCUCGCUGCAAACCUGAUCAUGCUCCCAUAUUUGGAAUCAUAA